GACCGCUUUAGAGAGCAGGCUCCCAGCAGCACACCUCUUACCAAUGUUUGUAUUGACAAGUGUUUCAAAAGAAAUAUUACAGACUGCACUGCAUUUUUUAAAAAAAUGAUUUAUCCACAUACAUGUAUCAUAAACACGGAAAAGCAAAGAAAAAACCUACUUGCAACCUCAUUUUUCAUCACCCAAAUUGCAAUGUUUAAUGGAUAGAAACAAUCCUCUUGCAUCACUUUGUCCCCCGCCCCCAAUUCUUGCAGUGUUGUGCCUACCACCUGUCAGAUUAUUGAAACAGUUGUGGUCAGUGGGGAAGGACCAUAGUCUCCCAGCAACUGCAUCACGACAGUGGAGUGGAAAAGCAGUGGGCCAUUGGUGCUGUGCAGGACCAUUCCGUUGGCUCCGUUGGUGCACAAGCGCAGCACUGACUCUUAACUCUUCCCACCAGCCCCCUUUGGUUGAGAGGUUUUUGCCUUUCUCCCACUGUUUGCCACAACUUGUGCAGAAAUGGCAUUGAGUAGGAUCAAAACAUAAUGGGCAGAGUGGAGGCCUGUCCUCAGCCUGAGCUUGGCAGGGCCUGUUGCCUCUCAUCCCAGGUUGUCAGCGGGACCCAGUUCUGCUGGUCAGCUCCCAUGGCGUUCCCCAACCAAGCAAGCUGGGAUGGUGCGUUGGGCUUAAGAUCGGAAGUCUUCGGGGCUAACAGAUCCCCACCCAGUGCCACGUCAACCGCACUUGCCUCGGGAGUCAAUAGAAAGCUGUGGCCUGGCUUUACCAACACAUGAGUCCCGCGUGUUGCAUACCCGCUCUGAUGGCCUCGGAGGCUUCCACAGUGCGCCUGCCAUGUGACUGGGUCCAACUUACUGUCUUAAGAGGAUUGUCUUUGGGGGUUAUUUUCUUUUCUUUUGAUUCAAUAUAUUGCCUCAGGUUUGAGAGUGUGGUUUUUCAUGUGUUUACCUUCCUCUGUCCUGGUUGGUGUGCAGUUUGUGUGUAUCUAUGUCUGUGUCCUGAGUUUUCCCGAUCAGGGACGCAGGUGGCGCUGUGGGUUAAACCACAGAGCCUAGGAUUUGCUGAUCAGAAGGUCGGCGGUUCGAAUCCCCGUGACAGGGUGAGCUCCCGUUGCUCGGUCCCUGCUCCUGCCAACCUAGCAGUUCAAAAGAACGUCAAAGUGCAAGUAUAUAAAUAGGUACCACUCCGGCGGGAAGGUAAACAGCGUUUCCGUGCGCUGCUCUGGUUCGCCAGAAGCAGCUUAAUCAUGCUGGCCACAUGACCCAGAAGCUGUACGCCGGCUCCCUCGGCCAAUAAAGCGAGAUGAGCGCCGCAACCCCAGAGUCGGCCACGGCUGGACCUAAUGGUCAGGGGUCCCUUUACCUUUACCUUUUCUUCUCCUUAGAGCCACAGCUACUAACUUAGUGUUCAAAUCUACUUCCCUCUUCUAUGGGCUGGAUUAGGAAAGGUUGCAGACCUCCAGAGACUACUUCCCUUGUUCAAAUGUUGUUGUGGAAUAGUUUAAACACUUGAUGCCUGUUGCUGCCUAAUUUUCCAUAUUUCUGAUUCUCCGCCUCCCACAGCAAAGGUUUUGAAUGGCUUGAUGAGCAUUUCUGUUCAGGGUGCAUGACAAAGAUGACCAGAGGCAGGAUUUGUUUUGGUUAUGGCAUCUCCACAUUGGAAUGCUUGCAUGCUCCCAGUCUGAUUUUUCAUUUUAUUUUUUGGUGUUGGAGAAAGUUUGUGGGGUUUUUUUCAUUUGCCAGAGUAUUUCAUCGUGCUGUUUUAACUGCUAUUUUCUGGUUCUGUCCACUUUUAUUGCUGGUUGCUGCUGUUCAUGUGUUUAUCUUGUUUUACUAUUGAACUUUUUGUUGUAUAGAUUUAUUUUCUUGAUUGACACCCCCCCACCCAAGAGACUUCUGCUGAAGGCGGCUUAUACAUUUCCUAAAUAAACAGAAACAAACAAGUAAUCCUUCUUUCAACACUUAUUCUGUAUCUGAAGUCUUCAUCCGUGCACUUGGCAGUCUGAAACAGGCGACAAGCAUGUGCAUGCCUCCCAGAUAUACAUAAAUAUUGAAAAGUUAUCUGGGUAAACUACCUCUCCCGUUAUAUGAUAUAGCUGCUAGCCUGUUGUGAAUAAUACGAUUUCUUCUCCUUUAUGUUCAACAUUGUACCCGAGUCUGUAAUAUAUUGCUUUUGAAAGAUUGCUUAAAAAGAAAAGAGAUGGGCAAAUGUCAUUGUGUCUCAGGUUUGUGCCUGGAAGCAAAUACAGUCAAGGAACAAUAUAUAACAACAGAAAGAUUAUUGCCCAAAGGCUGUAAGGCAGCACUUAAGACAUUUGUAGUCAGGGCAUCAAAAGUAUAUAGAAUCAACACAAAGAAAUAAACCUUUACUUCUACCUGUUUUCAAUGUA